UACGUAGGGGGCAAGCGUUGUCCGGAUUUAUUGGGCGUAAAGAGCGUGUAGGCGGCCAGGUAGGUGGGUUGUGAAAACUGGAGGCUCAACCUUCAGACGUCGACCCAAACCCCCUGGCUAGAGUCCGGAAGAGGAGAGUGGAAUUCCUGGUGUAGCGGUGAAAUGCGCAGAUAUCAGGAAGAACACCCGUGGCGAAAGCGGCUCUCUGGGACGGUACUGACGCUGAGACGCGAAAGCGUGGGGAGCGAACAGG
rnacentral:rRNA from 1 species